GCAUCUAUUGAUUUGUUGGUUUC
rnacentral:siRNA from 1 species